UCGCAUCGAUGAAGAACGCAGCGAAAUGCGAUAAGUAAUGUGAAUUGCAGAAUUCAGUGAAUCAUCGAAUCUUUGAACGCACCUUGCGCUCCUUGGUAUUCCGAGGAGCAUGCCUGUUUGAGUGUCAGUAAAUUCUCAACCCCCUUUUCAGCCUUUGUGGUUGGCGUCUGGGGGCUUGGAUAUGGAGGUUCUUGCAGGCCCUUUCUUCUAGGUCAGCUCCUCUGAAAUGCAUUAGCAGAACA
rnacentral:rRNA from 1 species